rnacentral:misc_RNA from 1 species
ACAGAUGUGAUUAAAGCUCAAAAGUGAGCGCAAUGUGUCGACGACUGAUCACUUGCGGGGUCAGGUUGGAUCGUAUUUUUUAUGCAUGAGAAAAUAUAGUAGUGAAAUUUUCUUUAUAGUUGUUUUAGAAAAGCUUAGUUACAUGCUGUCGAUUUUCUUUCCAGCUUCCUUGUGCAUUUGGUUUGGUUGGAAUGUACGUUUUUCUCCAAUUUAGAAUAUUUUUUUUUUUUUUUUUUUU